ensembl:lncRNA
GUAACCAAGAGAAGGUAUUCUCUUCCAAUGCAGCAGGAAGAGGGAAGGAACACACAAGGUGAUCACAGAUUGUGACCAACGCUGUGAAGAAAAGAAACAGCUUGAUGCUGUAACAACUGGGGAAGGACUCUCUGGGGAGAAGAUGAGAGUGGACCAGCCCAAGGAAAAGUGUUCCAGGCAGAAGGAACAGCAGGUGCAAAGGCCCAGAGGAGGAACGUUGAUGAGGAACAAAAACACAGCUAGACGUCAGUGAAGGUUGGAGAGUUAGAGUAAGUUGGAUCCUGCCAGGCCUAUUUGGCCACAGCAGAUUUAAGAAAGAGGAAGCUCUUGAAGGAUUUUAAACACGGGGAGAGGUAAUUUGCCAUUGCGUUGUCUGAAGUUCCUUGCAGGACAAAGACCCUUCCUUGGCGGGGUGGGUACUUAAACCCAGUCAAGACCAACCCAUCCUCCAAAUUAGUCUUGUGCUCUACCAGGCUUUUAGAAUAGGUCCAAUCUUCAUCAGAAAGCAUAGGGUUUGCUUUGUGCCAACCUGGCCCUCCAGUUCUGUAGGGAGCAGGUGUUGAACCACGGGCAGCAGACAUCACUGUAGCCUUGGAUGUAGUUUAUUACAGUGCGGGAGCACUGUCCUGUGAUGUGGUGGGGGACUCAGCAUUACUGAACUUAGCAAGGCCGCUGGCCAGGGGCAGAACCUAUCAUUUGAAAUACGUAUAAUUAUUUUGCUUAUUUAUGCCUUCUGUCUUUAGACUGUGAGUGCUGAGAAGCCAAAGACCACCUGGACUUUUAUCCCUGUGUUUCCAGUGCUUGCCUGCAGCAGGUACUCCACAGACACUUGUGAAAGCGUGGAGGAUUGGAGGAAAAGGGCAGCGGUAAUUUAGCUCUGCUUUUGUAGGAAACAGAAAGGGGAAGAGGACUUGUAAGCAGUAAAAUAUAAACAUCAAAACAACCUACAUUUGCUUCUGCAGAAAUGCUUGUUUUGAAGGUAGGAAUUUGUUCUAACGCAGUUUAAAGGAGCGUACCUACAUUCCCCAGUGAAAAACACAAAGCAAAAUUCCGAACCAGGGGUUCCCGUUGUGGUGCAGUGGUU